rnacentral:rRNA from 1 species
GACAGAGGGUGCAAACGUUGUUCGGAAUUACUGGGCGUAAAGCGUGUGUAGGCGGUCCACUAAGUCGGAUGUGAAAGCCCAGGGCUCAACCCUGGAAGUGCACUCGAUACUGGCGGGCUAGAGUACUGGAGAGGUUGGUGGGAAUUCUCGGGUGUAGAGGUGAAAUUCGUAGAUAUCGAGAGGAACACCGGUGGCGAAGGCGGCCAACUGGACAGAUACUGACGCUGAGACACGAAAGCGUGGGGGAGCAAACAGG